rnacentral:rRNA from 1 species
AUUGAACGCUGGCGGCAUGCUUUACACAUGCAAGUCGAACGGCAGCACGGGUGCUUGCACCUGGUGGCGAGUGGCGGACGGGUGAGUAAUACAUCGGAACGUGUCCUGAAGUGGGGGAUAACGCAUCGAAAGAUGUGUUAAUACCGCAUAUACUCUGAGGAGUAAAGUAGGGGAUCGAAAGACCUUAUGCUUUUGGAGCGGCCGAUGUCUGAUUAGCUAGUUGGUGGGGUAAUUGCCCACCAAGGCGACGAUCAGUAGUUGGUCUGAGAGGACGACCAGCCACACUGGGACUGAGACACGGCCCAGACUCCUACGGGAGGCAGCAGUGGGGAAUUUUGGACAAUGGGCGCAAGCCUGAUCCAGCAAUGCCGCGUGAGUGAAGAAGGCCUCGGUUGUAAG